GGCUUAACCUCGGAGCUGCGAUUGAAACUGGGAGACUUGAGUGCAGAAGAGGAGAGUGGAACUCCAUGUGUAGCGGUGAAAUGCGUAGAUAUAUGGAAGAACACCAGUGGCGAAAGCGGCUCUCUGGUCUGUAACUGACGCUGAGGUUCGAAAGCGUGGGUAGCAAACA
rnacentral:rRNA from 1 species